rnacentral:rRNA from 1 species
UACGGAGGGUGCAAGCAUUGAUCGGAAUUAUUGGGCGUAAAGGGCGCGUAGGCGGAUUGGUAAGUCAGAUGUGAAAUUCCACGGCUCAACUGUGGAGCUGCAUUUGAAACUGCUGAACUAGAGCGUAGCUAGGGAAAACGGAAUUCCACGUGUAGCGGUGAAAUGCGUAGAUAUGUGGAAGAACACCAGUGGUGAAGACGGUUUUCUGGGCUAUUGCUGACGCUGAGGCGCGAAAGCUAGGGGAGCAAACAGG